GAUGAAGACGUAGCGAAAUGCGAUAAGUAGUGUGAAUUGCAGAAUUCAGUGAAUCAUCGAAUCUUUGAACGCACAUUGCGCCCCUUGGUAUUCCAUGGGGCAUGCCUGUUCGAGCGUCAUUUGUACCUUCAAGCUUUGCUUGGUGUUGGGUGUUUGUCUCGCCUUUGCGUGUAGACUCGCCUUAAAAUAAUUGGCAGCCGGCGUAUUGAUUUCGGAGCGCAGUACAUCUCGCGCUUUGCACUCAUAACGACAGCGUCCAAAAGUACAUUUUACACUCUUGACCUCGGAUCAGGUAGGGAUACCCGCUGAACUUAAGCAUAUCAAUAAGCGGAGGA
rnacentral:misc_RNA from 1 species